rnacentral:rRNA from 1 species
GUGACCUGCGGAGGGAUCAUUACUGAGUUUUUAACUCUCCAAACCAUGUGAACUUACCACUGUUGCCUCGGUGGUCGGUGCUGGAAACAGUGCUGCCACCGGUGGACUACUAAACUCUUGUUAAUUUUUGUCAAAUCUGAAUCAAACUAAGAAAUAAGUUAAAACUUUCAACAACGGAUCUCUUGGUUCUGGCAUCGAUGAAGAACGCAGCGAAAUGCGAUAAGUAAUGUGAAUUGCAGAAUUCAGUGAAUCAUCGAAUCUUUGAACGCACAUUGCGCCCAUUAGUAUUCUAGUGGGCAUGCCUGUUCGAGCGUCAUUUCAACCCUUAAGCCUAGCUUAGUGUUGGGAGACUGCCUAAUACGCAGCUCCUCAAAACCAGUGGCGGAGUCUGUUCGUGCUCUGAGCGUAGUAAUUUUUUAUCUCGCUUCUGCAAGCCGGCCAGACGACAGCCAUAAACCGCACCCUCUCGGGGGGCACUUUUUUAAUGGUUGACCUCGGAUCAGGUAGGAAUACCCGCUGAACUUAAGCAUAUCAAUAAGCGGAGGAAAAGAAACCAACAGGGAUUGCCCUAGUAACGGCGAGUGAAGCGGCAACAGCUCAAAUUUGAAAUCUGGCCUUCUGGUCCGAAUUGUAAUUUGUAUAGGA